ACCAUAUACUUCUCAUAUUUCGACAAUAAAUAAUGAUAUUCUUGUAAAUUCUGAAAAUUGCACAUAAAUUUGCUGUUGCUGUUCAGUUUAAAUUUUCUGGCAUCCCUGGUCAUUGCGGCAUUGCUAUGCCGCUGUCAAGUGUCAACAUCUGUCCAGUCUCAGUUUUCAUUGUUUUUCCGCGGUUUCAGCCUCCAAUGUAAUUCCGUUUUUUGUCUUUAUUUACCAAGUUUUAUUGAGUUACUUCGCAAAAUAAACUAAGUUUUCGUGAUGCAAAGAAAUUUCUACUGUGUGAUACAAAGCCAGUAAGUGAUAACUGUGGUUCCGCCGCAAUGGAUUGACGGAAAAUUUCUUUUCUGACACCCUAAUAGAGCCGAAAAUUGCGUCUUCCAAACCAGAAUCUAACAGAGGUAACAUUCCCUGUAUAAUAAAAAAAAAAAAGAACAUUUCAACAUUUGAUGAGGCAGAAGAGGAAGAUGCAUUCCUAUCUGACAGAACAACGGUCAAUGGAUACCUCUGAUACAGCAGUGCCACCUAAGAAAAGGUUGAAAAGGGUACUUUAAUGAUGUUAGUAACCAUUGAAAAAACGUCUGCGGUUAACGUUGAUACUAAUUUGGUCUGCAAACCCAUAGAAGAAUUUGAAACAGAGCAACCAAUUGCUACUUCUUAUAUGCUACCUGGUUCCAAUACUGCAAUUAUACAUCGAAGCGAAGAUCUUGCAUAUGACCCACUAUUUGACCGCGAUGGACAGAAAAAUUUUAUGAUGGAAAAGAUAAGUAAUGUGGCAAAUACGGUCAAUGGGUAAAAUACAUGCUACGAAAUUGUCAAGAGUAUCAAUUGGAGCUUCAACGUCAAAUUGAUGGAACCUUUUCUAAAAGUCAGUCACGAGGAAUUCCAUGAAACGUUGUGAAGCCGCUGCGCUGCUCAACAGUUCACCGGAGAUCAAAGAAAACAUCACUUCUGUUGCAAUUGCUGAAUGUAUGACUGAUGAUACGGGAAGAGAGAACGGAACAGCACAAGAAAACAGCGACACAGAAGAGGAGAGCGAUCGUGUUGAAUAUUGAGUAUCGUAGUUCUAAGUUAUCUUCAGUUAUUUGUUUAUUCGAUACCAAGCUAUCUGUAAUUCGUUAAUCUAGAUGUAAUUAAAGACUAGAACCUGGGCAAAAAAGGUUCAACACCAUGUAUUCCUGUUGAAUGUAAGAAAUGAAAUGUUUAUGUUUUAAUAAACCACUCUUUCGGGACUUUUUUCAUUGCACAUUGUAUAUUUUUUCUUAAUAUUAGUUUACAUUUAGCUAACUAAAUGUUCGCUUAAAUUAUUAUUACCAUUAGAGCAGCCUUUGGUUUACUAAUAAACAAGAUCAUUACCCAACAGUCACGUGAGUUGAGUACCA